UGCCAGACUCCUACGGGAGGCAGCAGUGGGGAAUAUUAGACAAUGGGGGAAACCCUGAUCCAGCGACGCCGCGUGAGUGAAGAAGUAUUUCGGUACGUAAAGCUCUAUCAGCAGGAAAGAAAAUGACGGUACCUGACUAAGAAGCCCCGGCUAACUACGUGCCAGCAGCCGCGGUAAUACGUAGGGGGCAAGCGUUAUCCGGAUUUACUGGGUGUAAAGGGAGCGUAGACGGCAGCGCAAGUCUGGAGUGAAAUGCCGGGGCCCAACCCCGGAACUGCUCUGGAAACUGUGAAGCUGGAGUGCAGGAGAGGUAAGCGGAAUUCCUGGUGUAGCGGUGAAAUGCGUAGAUAUCAGGAGGAACACCGGCGGCGAAGGCGGCUUACUGGACUGUAACUGACGUUGAGGCUCGAAGGCGUGGGGAGCAAACAGGAUUAGAUACCCUCGUAC
rnacentral:rRNA from 1 species